rnacentral:rRNA from 1 species
GACGAACGCUGGCGGCGUGCUUAACACAUGCAAGUCGAACGGAAAGGCCUCUUUCGGGGGGUACUCGAGUGGCGAACGGGUGAGUAACACGUGAGUAACCUGCCCUUGACUUUGGGAUAACUUCAGGAAACUGGGGCUAAUACCGGAUAGGAGCUCCUGCUGCAUGGUGGGGGUUGGAAAGUUUCGGCGGUUGGGGAUGGACUCGCGGCUUAUCCGCUUGUUGGUGGGGUAGUGGCUUACCAAGGCUUUGACGGGUAGCCGGCCUGAGAGGGUGAUCGGCCACAUUGAGACUUAGAGACGGCCCAGACUCCGACGGGAGGCAGCUGUGGGGAAGCUUGCACGAUGGGUGGAGGCCUGAUGCAGCAACGCCGUGUGCGGGAUGACGGCCUUCGGGUUGUAAACCGCUUUCGCUCAUGACGAAGCUUUGUGUGACGGUAGUGGGUAAAGAAGCACCGGCUAACUACGUG